AAAAGUAAAACCUAAAAAGGGUUUUUCUCUCUAUGGUCUCUCUCGCCGUCUUCAAAUUCUUUUGCAGAGUUCAUCACAAAACAGCUCUUGAUCAGCGAAAUUAAACAUGAAUUCUCUCUCUGGUGGAUUCAGCGGGUUAUUCCUUGCCUCUUUUUCUUAUUUUUUCUUCUCAAUCUCUUUGUUCCUUCUAAACCCUAAUCUCUCUUUUGAUUCUACAUCAAAUCCAAUUCUUCUGUUCAUGACCAUUUCAUAGUCUUUGUUUCUGUCAACGAUGGCGGGUAUACAAGGCAAUGUGGUCUUUUGGGUGAAGUUGAUAUUAGAUUGAUGAGAAUGUGGCGAGAGAGAUUAUUAAUCAUAGAUCACUUCGUCAUCCUAAUAUCACCCGCUUUAAGGAGGUGGUUUUGACAACAACGCAUAUCGCCAUUGCUAUGGAAUAUGCUGCUGGUCGUGAGCUAUUUGAGCGUAUAUGUACCGCUGGAAGGUUCAGUGAGGAUGAGGCAAGAGACUUUUUCCAGCAGCUUAUAUCGAGAGUUAGCUAUUGCCAUGCUAUGCAUAUAUGCCACGGAGAUUUGAAGCUUGAAAAUACCCUCUUGGAUGGAAGUCCUGCUCCACGUCUCAAGAUCUGUGAUUUUGGUUAUUCCAAGGUCUGGCAUCUAACCCCAGCAUGCACCUGAUUUGUUAAUUUCUUUUGUCAGAACAAGCUCUGUCUUUUGUUCUCUUUCCGUCCAUCUAACCCCAGCACGCACCUGACUUUAAAUCAUUUAGCGUUGCUGCUCAUUAUUUUGGAAGCUCGAGUGAAGUAUAUCCUCAUGAAAAUUUGUUUUUGUUUAGCUCUAAACACAAACCAGAGAUAGAGAGUGUUUCGUGAGGAAGUGAGGUUUCCGUAUGAACUUGAUGUGAAGAUACUAUUUUCAAUUGGCAUACCUUAGUGAAGGGGUUGGAGCCAUUUGUGAGUUUGCUAGAAGAUGAGUGAGUGAGACACUCUGUUUUUUCCUUUUUCUUUUCACUCUAUAGUCUAUUAAAUCUUUUUAAUUGUAUCUUUUUGUUUGUUUGUAACAUUUAUAUCAAAUCUAAAUUAUAUCUGUUUCACAACAUUGAUAAAUUGGAUAUUGAAUGGUGGAUAUCAUGGUUUUCUUU